CUGUUUUUCCCGAGGGUCAAUCCCUGGAUGGUGGCUCUGGGUGUGAUCCUGGCUCUCCUGGCUGUUCUCAUUGGCCUGGCCAGUUACUGCUUCUGGAGGCAACACAGAGCGAAAGAGAAACUGCAGGGUGAACUCAAGUGGAGAAGAGCCCUACUAAAUGCAGGUUGGAAAAAAGCCUGACAAUAUGCAGGUAACUGUGCUGUAAGCUCCGCUGAAAUGAGAUCUGUCAAAACCCCACCAGCCCCUGAGAGCUCUCUGCUCCUUUGCUUUGGAAAAAUGCUGAGUAAUUUCCCCUCCACUUCACCUCCUUAAUAUGGUAUCUGGGUCUUGCCUGAUAGACGUUCUCACCUAACCUUAAUAGGCAUUAAACUGCUCAAAUCUCCCCUCCCAACAGCAGGGUUUUCAUGCUCAUACAGGCCUUUUAACCUGCAAUUUCCUUCUACAAUACUCUGAAGGGCUAAGAGCUGUUCAGCGUCUCCAUGGAUUUGGGCUGAGGCAGGCCCUGUCCCCAGUGCAGAGGCAGAUGUUUUUAUAACCAGACUGUGAAACUCACGGACACAUGUAAAACAAACUGUGCCCACACGGCUGCUUUCCUGUCUCUCA